AUGUGUGCAGAGUAAACAGUUGGCCGCUGACAAAUCCCCACCAGCCUCACGCUGGGGACAGGAGGAUUAAGAGAGACAAAGCCUGUCAAAGUGCUGUGUAAACUGAAGUCCUGGACCAGGGUCGGCUCGCUGGCCAUCAGAAAGAGGAACGUCACAUGGUCACCCCAAGAUGUAGGAGUUGAAAAGCCCAGAGAUGGGUUGGACUGUCGCCUUUUGGAAGGGCCACCCGCUGAUCCCCGUUCCUUUCCAACUGACUGCGAAGUUCUUCCCCCGCCAGCCUUAGCAAGUCCCUUCGACUGGGCUCUGACUGUCUGCUUGCCACCCCAGGCUUAGGGAGUCGAGGAGGGCCGACUGAAGUUACUCACUGGGUUCUUAUUUAGCAGAACUGUUUCUAAUAAUUAAAAUAUAGCAGUUAAUUCUUUUACUACCCCUAAAACUCAACAGAAUCUUCUUUAAGGAGGGGAAAAGCCGUUGCUAAAACAGGGUUAUAGGGCAGAAGGGUAUUGCUAAAUUUAAUCCCCUCAAAAUUCAGCAUUGAAGUCCCAGUAUCUCAGAAUGUGACUGUAUUGGGAAUAGGGUUAAAGAGGUAAUUAAGUUAAAGUGAAGUCAUUAUGUGGGACCUAAUUCACUAUGAGUGGUGUCCUUAUAAGAAAAGGGGUUUAGAACACAGGCACGCUUGGAAGAUCGGCUAAAGACAGGCAGCAGACGUCCAUCUACAAACCGAGACAGGCCUCAGAAGAAACCAAACCUGCAGACAACUUGAUUUUCGACUUAACAUGCUCCAAAACUUCACUGCUGAGCUCGAAUCUGGCUUCUGUAGAACUCCUCCAGGACUUACUGUUGUAUAUUAGAAACGGAAGAAAUCAAUUGAAGGAGGUCAAAAGUAACGGGCCUGCUCUCCAGUCUGCAGUCACAUCCCUCCACACGUCUCCUCCUCCAACCAGUACAAAUUAGCACUGAGCCC